UACGGAGGGAGCUAGCGUUGUUCGGAAUUACUGGGCGUAAAGCGCGCGUAGGCGGCUGUUCAAGUCAGAGGUGAAAGCCCGGGGCUCAACCCCGGAACUGCCUUUGAAACUAGAUAGCUAGAAUCUUGGAGAGGUCAGUGGAAUUCCGAGUGUAGAGGUGAAAUUCGUAGAUAUUCGGAAGAACACCAGUGGCGAAGGCGGUUGCCUGGAGCUUUGGCUGACGCUGAGGCGCGAAAGCGUGGGGAGCGAGUCCGG
rnacentral:rRNA from 1 species